GGACAUCCCUGGCUGACACAGAACACUCCAGGAUGACACAGGAUACCCCAGGUUGACACAGGACACCCCAGGCUGAACCAGGAUACCCCAGGUUGACACAGGACACCCCAGGCUGACUUUGGACACUCCAGAGUGACACAGGACACUCCAGCAUGACUCAGGAGAUCCCAGGAUGACUCAGGAGACCCCAGGAUGACUCAGGACACCCAAGUCUGGUACAGGACACAACAGGAUGACACAGGACACCCAGGCAUACACAGGACAUCUUAGGCUGACUCAGGACAACCAAGGAUGACACAGGACACCCCAGAGUGACACAGAACACCCCAGGCUGAGUCAGGACAACAUAAGAUGAUUCAGGACACCCCAGGAUGGCAUUGGACACUCUGGGAAGACACAGGAAAACCGAGGAUGACACAGGACACCCAGUCUUACGCAGGAAAUCCUAGGAUGACUCAGGAGACACCAGCAUGACUCAGGACAACCCAGGAUGUCACAAGACACCACACACUGACACAGGACACCCCAGGAUGACACAGGACUCCCCAGGCUGAUGCAGGACACCCCUGAAUGACACAUGAUACCCCAGAAUGACUCAGCACAUCCAAAGAUGGAUCAGAUCACCCCAUGCUGACACAGGACACCCCAAGAUGACUCUGCAUAACCCAGGCUGAAACAGGACACCCCAGGAUGACUCAGGACACACAAGGAUGUCUCAGGAGACCCCAGGAUAACCCAGGACACCCCAGGAUGACUCAGGAGACCCCAGGAUGACUCAGGACACCCCAGGAUGACUCAGGACACACAAGGAUGUCUCAGGAUUCCCCUGGCUGAUUCAGCACACCUGAGGAUGACAAAGGAUACCCCCGGAUGACUCAGGAGACCCCAGGAUAACCCAGGACACCCCAGGAUGACACAGGACACCCCAGGAUGACUCAGGACAUCUCAGGGUGACACAGGACAUUCAGGAUGACUCAGGACACCCCGGGAUGAUACAGGAUAGCACAGGCUGACACAGCAUACCCUAGCAUGACACAUGACACCCAGGAUGACUCAGGACUCCCGAGGCUGACUUUGGACACCCCAAGAUGACUCAGGACACCCCAGGGUGACACAGGAAAC
rnacentral:lncRNA from 1 species